UACGGAGGGGGCUAGCGUUGUUCGGAAUUACUGGGCGUAAAGGGCGCGUAGGCGGCCUACUAAGUCGGACGUGAAAUCCCUCGGCUCAACCGGGGAACUGCGUCCGAUACUGGUGGGCUUGAAUCCGGGAGAGGGAUGUGGAAUUCCAGGUGUAGCGGUGAAAUGCGUAGAUAUCUGGAGGAACACCGGUGGCGAAGGCGGCAUCCUGGACCGGUAUUGACGCUGAUGCGCGAAAGCCAGGGGAGCAAACGGG
rnacentral:rRNA from 1 species